rnacentral:lncRNA from 10 species
UAAAGGUGGAUAUAGUCGAAGGGAAAUAUGCACCAGACACAGGUAAACAGUCGGUGAAUAGACAAGAGGACCAGGGUGACAAGCUGCAAAGCUGGAGGAAAUUUAACUGAGCACGUGCGGCCAUUAAGACAUCCUUCUGUGCGCUAAUCAAAUCAUUCGUUUGGAUUACAACAGUUCCAGGUGAAGACAAUGUUGGCAAAAGGCUUCCAACCCCUCCAACUUUCUGACCUGAAGAAUGAAAGCAUUCUGUCUCUGGGAUCCUAAGAUCAGAUCAUUGUCUGUUAAGACCCCAUCGCAGAGAAGUUAAAGAGCUUCAAUCACCAUGCUUUCAGGGUCAAUUUGUCUCCGAAAAGGAACAGAUGGGGAAGAAUUAUUCCAUUCACAGUUGACUUGUCAGAAAUUCCAAGAUCUUGGACUGGCUGAAAGCAAUGAUGUUGCCAUUCAUCCUUUCACGUAUUCAUUAUGGUCUACAGCUGAGAAGGGCUAUUUGGGGUUUGCUUUGCCUGAUGGUAGCAGAAGAAAACCAAGAGGCCUCUCUACGAAAGCUUGCAGUAAGGAGAAAGUUCUGGAGACUGGGAAGAGCAACACAAAGAUAUUCAGUUGCUUGGUGAGAGCUGCUCUCUGCUUCCAAGGCGGCACCUUGUUGCUGCAUUCUCCAAUGGGAAGGAACGCUGGGUCCUC